rnacentral:rRNA from 1 species
AUUGAACGCUGGCGGCAUGAUUUACACAUGCAAGUCGAACGGUACAGGCCGCAGGGUUCUGACGAGUGGCGAGCGGGUGAGUAAUGCAUCGGAACGUGCCCAGACGUUGGGUUUAACUACUCGAUAGAGUAGCUAAUAUCGCAUACGAACUACGGAUGAACGCGGGGGACCGUAAGGCCUCGCGCGAUCGUAGCGGCCGAUGUCAGAUUAGGUAGUUGGUGGGGUAAAGGCUCACCAAGGCGACGAUCUGUAGCUGGUCUGAGAGGACGACCAGCCACACUGGAACUGAGACACGGCCCAGACUCCUACGGGAGGCAGCAGUGGGGAAUUUUGGACAAUGGGCGCAAGCCUGAUCCAGCAAUGCCGCGUGCAGGAAGAAGGCCUUCGGGUUGUAAAGUGCUUUUGUACGGAAAGAAAAGGCUCUGGUUAAUACCCGGGGCUAAUGACGGUACCGUAAGAAUAAGCACCGGCUAACUACGUG